AUGGAUUAUCUUUGCAAGAGCGGAAGAUGCGGAGAAGCUAGGAAGCUUUUUGAUUCUAUGAUCAGUUUGGGCCAAAAACCGACGGUUACUACAUACAACAUUCUGCUCCAUGGGUAUGCCACGGAAAGAUAUUUUCAUGAUAUGCAUUGUCUCAUCGAUUUGAUGGCAGAAAAUGGCAUUUCACCGGAUCAUUAUGUCUACAACAUAUUGAUAUUUGCAUAUGCUAAAGAAAAAAGGGUUGGUGAGGUAAUGCAUAUAUUUACAAAAAUGCGGCAACAAGGAUUCAACCCUGAUGCAGCGAGCUAUGGGACGGGAAUAAACUUACUUUGCAGCAUUGGCCGAAUGGAUGAUGCUGUGUUGCAAUUCAAUCAAAUGGUAACGGAAGGAUUAGCUCCUGAUAUCAUAGUUUUCACCACCCUUUUAGUGGUUUUUGUUCUUGUGGCAAAUGGGAGAAGGUCCAUGAACUAUUUUCUGAAAUGU
rnacentral:rRNA from 1 species